rnacentral:lncRNA from 1 species
AAUCCUUUCAGAGUGCUCAUGUCCCAAGACUUGAGACAGAUGGUUAUGGGGGCCAGAGGUGUCUUGGCCCUCACUUGCAAGUGUAUCUAACUACUCUUGUAAUUGCAAAUUCAAAUAAAAUCUCAUAAGAAAUGCUACAAUAUUAAUCAUACUAAUCAUAUUCUAGUUAUUACAUACAAAAAUCCUCUCGAUCGCGGCAUUCAUCGGCCUGUCCUUUU